AUACGGAGGGUGCAAGCGUUAAUCGGAAUUACUGGGCGUAAAGCGUACGUAGGCGGUUUAUUAAGUCAGAUGUGAAAGCCCCGGGCUUAACCUGGGAACUGCAUUUGAAACUAGUAGACUAGAGUAUGGUAGAGGGGGGUAGAAUUCCUAGUGUAGCGGUGAAAUGCGUAGAUAUUAGGAGGAAUACCAGUGGCGAAGGCGGCCCCCUGGACCAAUACUGACGCUGAGGUACGAAAGCGUGGGGAGCGAACAGGAUUAGAAACCCGAGUAGUCC
rnacentral:rRNA from 1 species